UACUCGAAGCCAGUUUCUUCUGAGCGAUUGUUACAUUUUAAUUCUUUGCAUUCACUCACACAAAAAAUCGCUAUAAUAAAGAAUGUAAAAUAUAAAAUUCUAAACCUCUCUCAUGAGUCAUUCCAUGAAAAAAAUUUCCGUGAUCAGGCAGCUCUGCUGGUCAAGAAUGGUUAUCCAAGUAAUUUAAUAUAUAAGAUUUUUUAUUCGUCUAUUAGUGCAGGUGAUUCUCGAUCAUCCAGUGAUGUUGAUCAAACGACACAUUAUAGUAAAUUAGUCUAUAUACCGGGAUGCUCUCAGCAAUUGGCAAGAAUAAUGAGCAAUCUCUCAAACAAAGUAGUUUUUUAUUAUAAUAAAACUGUGGGAAAAUUGUUCAGUCGACUAAAGGAUGGCAAUCCUUUGAUGAGACACUCUAAUUUAGUGUACAAAAUAGAUUGUUCAGAUUGUGCUGGCAGUUACAUAGGCCAAACAAAACAGUAUAUAGGGUCGAGGUUGAAACAACAUGAGAGAGAUUGCAAAAAUCGUAGUGAAGCAACAGCAUUAUCACAGCAUGCAAGAAUUAAUGACCACUCCUUUGAUUUUAAUAAUGUAAAAAUUUUAAAUAAAGAAAAGAAUUGGUUUAAACGAACAUUCAAAGAAAUGGUUUUUAUCAAGAGAAUAAAAGAUUCUGUGAAUACACGCACCGAUAUUGGUAGUUUGAGUUCGGUGUAUUUUAACUUAAUUAAUAAGGUAAAUGUAGAUAGUUUUAUCGCGCGGUAGUUCGUGUUUCCUUUUGAAUCGAGUGUUAGUAUGUCUCACACAUUUUAAUGCAGUCUGUCUUGCCUGAUACAUUAGUUUAUACUUAUACGUCUUAUUUGAUGUGGUUUUUUAUGAUAUCCUGAUAAUGCCAUUUUAUUUUAUGGACAUUUAUUUGAUGAUUUCGAUGUAUUCGAAUGAUUUAUAACCGUUAUUCAUAGGCCUGAUGAAGGAGCUAAAUGCUCAGAAACGUUGCCAUUGAAUAAAUUGUAUACAACUGUUCCUUGUGACUGAUAUUCCUCACCAUCGAAUUAAAUCUUCGGAACGAUAAUUUUAUCUGAAAUAAUUAUAUUGGUCUCUUAAUUGGUUGACAUGGGAUUUUUCAACUACAUCAUGACGGUAUUUGGUAUCAACUUGGUUGUACAUUUCAAAGAAUGGGCUAAAGAUAACAAGAAGCUGGCAAACUCGAUCAACAAUAGGAUAUUCCUGUUGAGGUGCAGACAUGAUGGUAUAUACCCAAAGCACAUUGUUAAUGAAGUCAAAUGUGUUUACUCUUU